rnacentral:lncRNA from 1 species
CUAAUUUGUAACUUUCUUAAUAUAAGUAUGGGGUAGGAGUUUAUAAGAUUUUUUUUCUUCAUCUUAAUCCUGUUCUUCUUGUCAUGGAAUGUAUUUUUGUGUGUUUGUUUGAUUGUUGUUGUGGUAUUUCGUGUUGCAUUACCAUGAAAAGAGAAUAAAUGAAGGAAAUGAAAUGAUAGCCAAUAUUUCAGCCCCACGUGUAAUCCAAUUGCUGUCAAUGAUUGUGUAUGGUUUGAUAACGUAAAACUCCAGACAAGUUUUCUUGUGCGCAUCUGUUUUUAACAUAUCUUGACAUUAUAACUCAUCUGUUUUUCUUUUCAAACAAUCUCAGCGCUAUUAAAACUGAUGACUUUCUGUUUGCUCCUAAUGACUGUGUCUACUGCAGCAACCUUCACACCAGUUCGGUUUCAGACAUUGGUCAGAGACCAGCUGCAUUGCUCUUCCGGCCAGAGAGUUGCCCCAGACAAGCUCAUCAUCCAGCAGAGCUCCACUGCUCAAAGACAGGUCCAGCCCAUUGCGUUGCAUGUCAUGCCACAGGACAGCACUCCUCCUCCCCUUGCCCUGCAGACCCCAAACACUCCCACUACAGCCACCGUCCAAUCAAAGCACACUGAGUUUCUCUCUGUGCCCUCCUCUGCAAGUCAGCCCACCAGUGAGUCAGCAGGUGUGUCUACACCCACAGCUCCCCCUGUAGUGCUCCCUGACCCUCCACCACUUCAUCUGGGCCCAGUGUUAGAACCGGUCUCCCAGUAUUCACCUCCGUCCAGCCCCACUCCCCUCACCAUGGCAAUGCCCAGGCUGGUCCAGCCACAGAGAUCUUGUGUUUCAGCGCCUUCAGAUUAUGCUGGUGUUUUUCAUCAGGUGGAGAUGAACCUGCAGGCCACAAUGGCAGAAGAUAGAGAGAACGGAGAAUCAGCACAGGAUGACUGCCUGAUGGAUGCAGACCAACCACAGAACUCCACCGAUUCCAACACUGAUCACACACCUGCUGAGGAUGCUGAAGACUCCCAUCAUACCAAUGACAACCCAUGGCUCUAA